rnacentral:rRNA from 1 species
UGGUGACUAUAGCAAGGAGGUCACACCUGUUCCCAUGCCGAACACAGAAGUUAAGCUCCUUAGCGUCGAUGGUAGUCGUCAAAAUAAAAGCAAACA